AACGAACGCUGGCGGCAUGCCUAACACAUGCAAGUCGAACGAAGCCUUCGGGCUUAGUGGCGCACGGGUGCGUAACGCGUGGGAACCUACCAUCAGGUUCGGAAUAACAGUUAGAAAUGACUGCUAAUACCGGAUAAUGUCUUCGGACCAAAGAUUUAUCGCCUUUUGAUGGGCCCGCGUAAGAUUAGGUAGUUGGUGGGGUAAAGGCCUACCAAGCCGACGAUCUUUAGCUGGUCUGAGAGGAUGAUCAGCCACACUGGGACUGAGACACGGCCCAGACUCCUACGGGAGGCAGCAGUGGGGGAAUAUUGGACAAUGGGCGAAAGCCUGAUCCAGCAAUGCCGCGUGAGUGAUGAAGGCCUUAGGGUUGUAAAGACUCUUUUACUGGGAGUGAUAAUAGACAGUACCCAGAGAAUAAGACUCCGGCUAACUCCGUGCCAGCAGCGCGGUAAAGUAGACUACUG
rnacentral:rRNA from 1 species